AAGUUGGUAAGAUCUGUGCAGUAGAAGAAUGUGUCAAAGCAGGACUACAGUGUGGACUAGAGCUUUGUGCGGAAGGUGUCUCGUGUAAUGAUAAUCAUUGUCAAGGAACUAGAUGUGGUAUUGUGGAUUGUGAAGAUGGAAAAGACUGCCAACUGAGUAUGUGCAAUGGUCCAGGUAUA